rnacentral:rRNA from 1 species
GAUGAACGCUGGCGGCGUGCCUAAUACAUGCAAGUCGAGCGAACAGACGAGGAGCUUGCUCCUCUGACGUUAGCGGCGGACGGGUGAGUAACACGUGGAUAACCGACCUAUAAGACUGGGAUCACUUCGGGAAACCGGAGCUAAUACCGGAUAAUAUAUUGAACCGCAUGGUUCAAUAGUGAAAGACGGUUUUGCUGUCACUUAUAGAUGGAUCCGCGCCGCAUUAGCUAGUUGGUAAGGUAACGGCUUACCAAGGCAACGAUGCGUAGCCGACCUGAGAGGGUGAUCGGCCACACUGGAACUGAGACACGGUCCAGACUCCUACGGGAGGCAGCAGUAGGGAAUCUUCCGCAAUGGGCGAAAGCUUGACGGAGCAACGCCGCGUGAGUGAUGAAGGUCUUCGGAUCGUAAAACUCUGUUAUUAGGGAAGAACAAAUGUGUAAGUAACUAUGCACGUCUUGACGGUACCUAAUCAGAAAGCCACGGCUAACUACGUG